UUCGACGGGGCCCGCACAAGCGGUGGAGCAUGUGGUUUAAUUCGAAGCAACGCGAAGAACCUUACCAGGUCUUGACAUCCCCUGACAACCCAAGAGAUUGGGCGUUCCCCUUCGGGGGACAGGGUGACAGGUGGUGCAUGGUUGUCGUCAGCUCGUGUCGUGAGAUGUUGGGUUAAGUCCCGCAACGAGCGCAACCCUCGCCUCUAGUUGCCAGCAUUCGGUUGGGCACUCUAGAGGGACUGCCGGCGACAAGUCGGAGGAAGGUGGGGAUGACGUCAAAUCAUCAUGCCCCUUAUGACCCGGGCUACACACGUGCUACAAUGGCAGGUACAGAGGGCUGCGAAGCCGCGAGGUGGAGCGAAUCCCAGAAAACCUGUCUCAGUCCGGAUUGAAGUCUGCAACUCGACUUCAUGAAGGCGGAAUCGCUAGUAACCGCGAAUCAGCAGGUCGCGGUGAAUACGUUCCCGGGCCUU
rnacentral:rRNA from 1 species